rnacentral:rRNA from 1 species
UAGGGGUGGCUUCCAUCUGGAAGAAUCUGGAGACAGGUGCUGCAUGGCUGUCGUCAGCUCGUGUCGUGAGAUGUUGGGUUAAGGUCCCGCAACGAGCGCAACCCUUGCCUUUAGUUGCCAGCAGUUCGGCUGGGCGACUCUAAAGGGACUGCCGGUGUUAAACCGGAGGAAGGUGGGGAGUGACGUCAAGUCCUCAUGGCCUUUAUGACCAGGGCUACACACGUACUACAAUGGCCGAUACAAAGGGCAGCGACACUGCGAGGUGAAGCCAAUCCCGUAAAAUCGGUCUCAGUCCGGAUUGGAGUCUGCAACUCGACUCCAUGAAGUUGGAAUCGCUAGUAAUCGUGGAUCAGCAUGCCACGGUGAAUACGUUCCCGGGCCUU